GACGAACGCUGGCGGCGUGCUUAACACAUGCAAGUCGAACGGAAAGGCCCUGCUUUUGUGGGGUGCUCGAGUGGCGAACGGGUGAGUAACACGUGAGUAACCUGCCCUAGACUUUGGGAUAACUUCAGGAAACUGGGGCUAAUACCGGAUAGGAGCUCCUGCUGCAUGGUGGGGGUUGGAAAGUUUCGGCGGUUGGGGAUGGACUCGCGGCUUAUCAGCUUGUUGGUGGGGUAGUGGCUUACCAAGGCUUUGAAGGGUAGCCGGCCUGAGAGGGUGACCGGCCACAUUGGGACUGAGAUACGGCCCAGACUCCUACGGGAGGCAGCAGUGGGGAAUAUUGCACAAUGGGCGGAAGCCUGAUGCAGCAACGCCGCGUGCGGGAUGACGGCCUUCGGGUUGUAAACCGCUUUCGCCUGUGACGAAGCGUGAGUGACGGUAAUGGGUAAAGAAGCACCGGCUAACUACGUG
rnacentral:rRNA from 1 species